rnacentral:rRNA from 1 species
UACGUAGGGUGCAAGCGUUAAUCGGAAUUACUGGGCGUAAAGCGUGCGCAGGCGGGUGAUGUAAGACAGGUGUGAAAUCCCCGGGCUUAACCCUGGGAACUGCAUUUGUGACUGCAUCGCUGGAGUGCGGCAGAGGGGGAUGGAAUUCCGGCGUGUAGCAGUGAAAUGCGUAGAUAUGCGGAGGAACACCGAUGGCGGAAGGGCAAUCCCCUGGGCCUGCACUGACGCUCAUGCACGAAAGCGUGGGGAGCAACAGG